rnacentral:rRNA from 1 species
UGCAGAAUCCCGUGAACCAUCGAGUUUUUGAACGCAAGUUGCGCCCGAAACCAUUAGGUCGAGGGCACGCCUGCCUGGGCGUC